AGAGUUUGAUCCUGGCUCAGGAUGAACGCUGGCGGCGUGCUUAACACAUGCAAGUCGAGCGAAGCAGUUAAGUUGAUUUCUUCGGAUUGAUUCUUAACUGACUGAGCGGCGGACGGGUGAGUAACGCGUGGGUGACCUGCCCCAUACCGGGGGAUAACAGCUGGAAACGGCUGCUAAUACCGCAUAAGCGCACAGAGCUGCAUGGCUCAGUGUGAAAAACUCCGGUGGUAUGGGAUGGGCCCGCGUCUGAUUAGGCAGUUGGCGGGGUAACGGCCCACCAAACCGACGAUCAGUAGCCGGCCUGAGAGGGCGACCGGCCACAUUGGGACUGAGACACGGCCCAAACUCCUACGGGAGGCAGCAGUGGGGAAUAUUGCACAAUGGGGGAAACCCUGAUGCAGCGACGCCGCGUGAGCGAAGAAGUAUUUCGGUAUGUAAAGCUCUAUCAGCAGGGAAGAUAAUGACGGUACCUGACUAAGAAGCCCCGGCUAACUACGUGCCAGCAGCCGCGGUAAUACGUAGGGGGCAAGCGUUAUCCGGAUUUACUGGGUGUAAAGGGAGCGUAGACGGCAAGGCAAGUCUGAUGUGAAAACCCAGGGCUUAACCCUGGGACUGCAUUGGAAACUGUCUGGCUCGAGUGCCGGAGAGGUAAGCGGAAUUCCUAGUGUAGCGGUGAAAUGCGUAGAUAUUAGGAAGAACACCAGUGGCGAAGGCGGCUUACUGGACGGUAACUGACGUUGAGGCUCGAAAGCGUGGGGAGCAAACAGGAUUAGAUACCCUGGUAGUCCACGCCGUAAACGAUG
rnacentral:rRNA from 1 species